rnacentral:tRNA from 2 species
GCGCCCGUAGCUCAAUUGGAUAGAGCGUCUGACUACGGAUCAGAAGGCUAGGGGUUCAAGUCCUCUCGGGCGCG